rnacentral:rRNA from 1 species
AUUGAACGCUGGCGGCAGGCCUAACACAUGCAAGUCGAACGAGUGGCGGACGGGUGAGUCAUGUCUGGGAAACUGCCUGAUGGAGGGGGAUCACUACUGGAAACGGUAGCUAAUACCGCAUACCAUCAGAUGUGCCAAGAUGGGAUUAGCUAGUUGGUGGGGUAACGGCUCCCCAGGGAGACGAGCCCUAGCUGGUCUGAGAGGAGGACCAGCCACACUGGAACUGUGACACGGUCCAUACUCCUACGGGAGGAAGCAGGAGGGAAUAUUGCACAAUGGUCGCAAGCCUGAUGCAGCCAUGCCGCGUGUAUGAAGAAGGCCUUCGGGUUGUAAAGGACUUUCAGCGGGGAGGCGUUACCCGCAGAAGAAGCACCGGCUAACUCCGUGCCAGCAGCCGCGGUAAUUC